rnacentral:pre_miRNA from 1 species
GAGCUACUCCCUCCGUUCCAAAAUAGAUGACUCAACUUUGUACUAACUUUGUACUAACUUUGUACUAACUUUAGUACAAAGUUGGGUCAUCUAUUUUGGAACGGAGGGAGUACAUU